rnacentral:rRNA from 1 species
CCUACGGGUGGCAGCAGUGAGGAAUAUUGGUCAAUGGGCGCGAGCCUGAACCAGCCAAGCCGCGUGAGGGAAGACGGUCCUAUGGAUUGUAAACUGCUUUUGUACGAGGGCAAACGCAGAUACGCGUAUCCGUAUGAAAGUACCGUACGAAACAGCAUAGUGUGACUCCGUGCCAUCAGCCGCGGUAAUACGGAGGAUUCAAGCGUUAUCCGGAUUUAUUGGGUUUAAAGGGUGCGCAGGCGGUCGGAUAAGUCAGAGGUGAAAUACCGAGGCUCAACGUCGGAAUUGCAUAUGAUACUGGUCGGCUAGAGAGUGAUAGAGGGAGGCGGAAUGUGUGGUGUAGCGGUGAAAUGCGUAGAGAUCGGGCAGAACACCGAUGGCGAAGGCAGCUUACCGGGCUAAUACUGACGCUGAGGCACGAAAGCGUGGGGAGCAAACAGGAUUAGAUACCCCAGUAGUC